rnacentral:rRNA from 1 species
CCUACGGGUGGCAGCAGUGGGGAAUAUUGGACAAUGGGGGCAACCCUGAUCCAGCCAUGCCGCGUGUGUGAAGAAGGCCCUCGGGUUGUAAAGCACUUUCAGUGAGGAAGAACGCCUGGUGGUUAAUACCCAUCAGGAAAGACAUCACUCACAGAAGAAGCACCGGCUAACUCCGUGCCAACAGCCGCGGUAAUACGGAGGGUGCGAGCGUUAAUCGGAAUUACUGGGCGUAAAGCGCGCGUAGGUGGCUUGAUAAGCCGGUUGUGAAAGCCCCGGGCUCAACCUGGGAACGGCAUCCGGAACUGUCAAGCUAGAGUGCAGGAGAGGAAGGUAGAAUUCCCGGUGUAGCGGUGAAAUGCGUAGAGAUCGGGAGGAAUACCAGUGGCGAAGGCGGCCUUCUGGACUGACACUGACACUGAGGUGCGAAAGCGUGGGUAGCAAACAGGAUUAGAUACCCGGGUAGUC